rnacentral:rRNA from 1 species
GGUAUAUGGUGGAUGCCUUGGAGCUGCGAGACGAAGAAGGCCGUGAUAAGCUGCGAAAAGCUAGGGGGAGGAGCACAUAUCCUUUGAUCCUUAGAUAGCCGAAUGGGGUAACCCGAUAGGAGCGAUUCUAUCAUUCCAAUGCCUGAAUAAAAUAGGGCAGGAAAGUCACACUGGGUGAACUGAACCAUCUAAGUAACCCGGGAAAAGAAAUCAAGAAGAGGAGCGAUCCUCCGGAGAUUCCGAAAGUAGCGGCGAGCGAAAUCGGAAGAGCCCAAACCCGUUUAACGGGGGUUGUAGGGCCGCAUGGGGUUUAUCCCGUGGAGUUGAGAAAAAAUCAAUAUAUAGCAGAACGGUUUUGGGAAAGCCGGCCACAGAGGGUGAAAGCCCCGUAAGCGACAUAUAUUGGUCUCCAUGAUGCGGUACCUGAGUACGGCGAGGCACGAGAAACCUUGUCGGAAUCCGGGUCGACCACGAUCCAAGGCUAAAUACUCCGCAGCUACCGAUAGUGCAGAAGUACCGUGAGGG